GAUGUCGCCUCCCAUCAGACGGGGAGCCAGGCUGCCAGCCAAGCGCAACCACCGAUGAUGGUGACUCCUCCACCAGCCUAGCUAGCAUUGGUCAUGGUGGACUAGUUCAACCUGCUCUUUCAGCAAGUUUAAAAUUUGAUGGUCACUGUUCAAACAGUCCAGACUCUUCUGGUGCCUCCGUCGAUGGCACCACAACCUACUCAGACUGCUCCUGCACCUCCCUUGAUAGUGCAACUGACUGUUCUCUCGACGGCACCAUCGGUGGUGCCCCCACUACAACCAGAGCUACGUGUGUCUCC
rnacentral:lncRNA from 1 species